CUCAGGACGAACGCUGGCGGCGUGCUUAACACAUGCAAGUCGAACGAUGAUGCCUAGCUUGCUGGGUUGAUUAGUGGCGAACGGGUGAGUAACACGUGAGUAACCUGCCCCUGACUUCGGGAUAACGCUGGGAAACUGGUGCUAAUACCGGAUAUGACGCGCCUUCGCAUCGGGGGUGUGUGGAAAGACUGUGUCGGUUGGGGAUGGGCUCGCGGCCUAUCAGCUUGUUGGUCGGGGUGAUGGCCUACCAAGGCGUCGACGGGUAGCCGGCCUGAGAGGGUGACCGGCCACACUGGGACUGAGAUACGGCCCAGACUCCUACGGGAGGCAGCAGUGGGGAAUAUUGCACAAUGGGCGCAAGCCUGAUGCAGCGACGCCGCGUGAGGGAUGACGGCCUUCGGGUUGUAAACCUCUUUCAGUAGGGGAGAAGCCAGCUUGCUGGUGACGGUACCUGCAGAAGAAGCGCCGGCUAACUACGUGCCAGCAGCCGCGGUAAUACGUAGGGCGCAAGCGUUGUCCGGAAUUAUUGGGCGUAAAGAGCUCGUAGGCGGUUUGUCGCGUCUGCUGUGAAAACGUGGGGCUUAACCCUACGCCUGCAGUGGGUACGGGCAGACUAGAGUGCGGUAGGGGAGACUGG
rnacentral:rRNA from 1 species